rnacentral:rRNA from 1 species
GACGAACGCUGGCGGCGCGCCUAACACAUGCAAGUCGAGCGGAGUCUAUGAGACAAUCACUUCGGUGUGCGACUUAUAGUACUUAGCGGCGGACGGGUGAGUAACACGUGAGCAACCUACCCUAAGGUGGGGAAUAACAUUCGGAAACGGAUGCUAAUACCGCAUGAUGUUGGAGGAAGGCAUCUUCCACCAACCAAAGAUUUAUCGCUUUAGGAUGGGCUCGCGCCCGAUUAGAUAGUUGGUGAGGUAAUGGCUCACCAAGUCGACGAUCAGUAGCCGGACUGAGAGGUUGAUCGGCCACAUUGGGACUGAGACACGGCCCAGACUCCUACGGGAGGCAGCAGUGGGGAAUAUUGCACAAUGGGGGAAACCCUGAUGCAGCGACGCCGCGUGAACGAAGACGGUCCUCUGGAUUGUAAAGUUCUGUCAACGGGGACGAUAAUGACGGUACCCCGUGGAGGAAGCCACGGCUAACUACGUGCCAGCAGCCGCCGUAAAAG